GGUGCUGAUCAAAAUCCUGGAUUUGUCAACCAUGGAACCAACAAAUUGAUUGACAUAAGUUUACCAAUGUUUUUCAGAGAAACGGUUGUGAAGGAAAGUCUAGAACCAGAGCAAAUACCCUUUAAGAGAAAAUGUUGGGCUGUGGGUCCCACCCCCAACAUUUGGGCGAAAUCCUCAGAACACAAACUUUUUGACAGAAGGAAGACUUAAAUCAAUUAUUUUACAUAUCCAGAAGGAUAUAUAGAGAAAAAUUCGAGGAAGGAUAUCUAGUGACUAAUUUUAUAAGUAAAAAAUUCCAGAAAUCAAGUAGAUCCUACUAACUGUAAGCUAUAAAAGGAAAGGAGCAUACCGUGUCACUGAAUUCAUCAUCUU
rnacentral:misc_RNA from 1 species